rnacentral:rRNA from 1 species
GAUGAACGCUGGCGGCGUGCUUAACACAUGCAAGUCGAACGGAAAGGCUCCUGCUUGCAGGGGUACUCGAGUGGCGAACGGGUGAGUAACACGUGGGUGAUCUGCCCUGCACUUCGGGAUAAGCCUGGGAAACUGGGUCUAAUACCGGAUAGGACGAUGGUUUGGAUGCCAUUGUGGAAAGUUUUUUCGGUGUGGGAUGAGCUCGCGGCCUAUCAGCUUGUUGGGGGGGUAAUGGCCUACCAAGGCGUCGACGGGUAGCCGGCCUGAGAGGGUGUACGGCCAGAAUGGGACUAAGAGACGGGCCGGAAGGCAACGGGAGGCAGCAGGGGGGAAUAUAGAACAAUGGGCGGAAGCUUGAUACAGCGACGCGGGGGGGGGGAAGACGACCUUCGGGUGGUAAAAGCGUGACGGUAGGAACGAGGCGGAGGUGACGGUACGGAAAGAAGAAGCACCGGCUAACUACGUG